rnacentral:lncRNA from 1 species
AUCUUCAGUAUAUGGUUCCCUUGCAUCUGUUCUAGCACAGUACUCACCUCAGCAAUUAGCAGGGAAGAGAAUUGGAGUGUUUUCUUAUGGUUCUGGUUUGGCUGCCACUCUGUACUCUCUUAAAGUCACACAAGAUGCUACACCGGGGUCUGCUCUUGAUAAAAUAACAGCAAGUUUAUGUGAUCUUAAAUCAAGGCUUGAUUCAAGAACUGGUGUGGCACCAGAUGUCUUCGCUGAAAACAUGAAGCUCAGAGAGGACACCCAUCAUUUGGUCAACUAUAUUCCCCAGGGUUCAAUAGAUUCACUCUUUGAAGGAACGUGGUACUUAGUUAGGGUGGAUGAAAAGCACAGAAGAACUUACGCUCGGCGUCCCACUCCAAAUGAUGACACUUUGGAUGAAGGAGUAGGACUUGUGCAUUCAAACAUAGCAACUGAGCAUAUUCCAAGCCCUGCCAAGAAAGUACCAAGACUCCCUGCCACAGCAGCAGAACCUGAAGCAGCUGUCAUUAGUAAUGGGGAACAUUAAGAUACUCUGUGAGGUGCAAGACUUCAGGGUGGGGUGGGCAUGGGGUGGGGGUAUGGGAACAGUUGGAGGAAUGGGAUAUCUGGGGAUAAUUUUAAAGGAUUACAUGUUAUGUAAAUUUUUAUGUGACUGACAUGGAGCCUGGAUGACUAUCGUGUACUUGGGAAAGUCUCUUUGCUCUAUUUGCUGACAUGCUUCCUGUUGUGGUCUGGCCAAUGCCAAAUGUACUCGAAUGAUGUUAAGGGCUCUGUAAAACUUCAUACCUCUUUGGCCAUUUGUAUGCAUGAUGUUUGGUUUUUAAACAUGGUAUAAUGAAUUGUGUACUUCUGUCAGAAGAAAGCAGAGGUACUAAUCUCCAAUUAAAAAAUUUUUUAACAUGUAAGAAUUUUGUACUUUGAACAACAAGAUUACAGAAAGUACCUGUGGUUUUUGGAAAACAUUUCUAGCUUGGGGAAUGUGACAACAUUCCCCAGUGUGGUAAAAUUGGGGUAAAAUGUGGUAAAAUGUGAUACGCACAAACCCUUUGAAAAUAGCAAAACAAACAUGCCCUUUUUCUAAAAUUGAUAAAUCCUAAAGAGGAAGAAAAGAGCUGGGACAAUAAAACACUGGCUCUGGAAUCUGGAAUGUUAAGUCCAGGCCAGCAGUGACAAAAGUUAUUGUAAUGACCUCUGAACAGAGAAACACUGCCAUUGAAGAGGCUUCUGGUAUAGAAAACAUGGUACAUUCAGGAGCUGUGAAUAUAGCUCUAGGUGUGCUCCUGAAUCAGUUCAUGGUAGAUUAUGCUGAACAACAGUGAGAUGUUAUUGGAGGUGUGGAUGAGGGAGUUUGUUGUUGCAGUCCUUCUUUGCACCUUAUUUUAAAG